rnacentral:rRNA from 1 species
UGGGGAAUUUUGGACAAUGGGGGGAAACCCUGAUCCAGCCAUCCCGCGUGUGCGAUGAAGGCCUUCGGGUUGUAAAGCACUUUUGGCAGGAAAGAAACGUCGCGGGUUAAUACCCCGCGAAACUGACGGUACCUGCAGAAUAAGCACCGGCUAACUACGUGCCAGCAGCCGCGGUAAUACGUAGGGUGCAAGCGUUAAUCGGAAUUACUGGGCGUAAAGCGUGCGCAGGCGGUUCGGAAAGAAAGAUGUGAAAUCCCAGAGCUUAACUUUGGAACUGCAUUUUUAACUACCGGGCUAGAGUGUGUCAGAGGGAGGUGGAAUUCCGCGUGUAGCAGUGAAAUGCGUAGAUAUGCGGAGGAACACCGAUGGCGAAGGCAGCCUCCUGGGAUAACACUGACGCUCAUGCACGAAAGCGUGGGGAGCAAACAGGAUUAGAUACCCUGGUAGUCCACGCCCUAAACGAUGUCAACUAGCUGUUGGGGCCUUCGGGCCUUGGUAGCGCAGCUAACGCGUGAAGUUGACCGCCUGGGGAGUACGGUCGCAAGAUUAAAACUCAAAUGAA